rnacentral:lncRNA from 1 species
AGAGAGAGAGAGAGAGAGAGAGAGAGAGAGAGUCUUCACAGCUAUGCCCUCCUUCCUAAAGGAAGGAUUUGCUGAGGAGGCAGAAUGCAUUUUGAGAUAAAAGGACUCUGGUUUGUGAACAGAUGGAGUCUCAACCUCAAACCAUGAAUAAUAUCUACCUAGAUUGUUUGAUUUAUUAGCAGCAAUAAUGGCAGCAAUGGAGCAAUGUGAUUGCUUGGGAGGAAUCUGAUCUCAUUUUUUGGUGAUGGGUUAUUGAUGCAAAGUGGAUUGGUUACAACCGCCACAAGGCUUCACUUUUCAAAUUACUGAGCGGGAAUUUUUGCAGGAGCAUUUUCAAAAAAUAGAAGUCUGGUUUGCUAUGACUUGUUUUCCUGAUCUAUUAUGUCAUGAACUGUUCCAGAAUCUUUAGAAACAGAGGAUCAACCCAGGGAACGUGUUGAUGGGAGCUUCCUCAGUCUUUUACCUUCUCAGCUAGAAGUCUCGAAGAGCCAGAACAUGUCGUCUCCAUAAGUCCUGUUGAUCUCUGAGGCAUCAUGUGGCUCAAGGACUUAAAUAACUAUUAUCAAGAGCAACGCAUACAUCUCAGUAAAUACAGUUCUCAUCAAGCCAUUUAAGGUCAUAAUUGAGGCAGCUUUUUACACGAGAUUGAGCUUUAUGGCAUGCAGUGAAAUGGUCAAAGAAGCAGAGAAAUCAGAAGAAGUUGGAGGUUGAGUCAUGCUUCUUCCAUGAGGCAUAUGUUCCUGAAUGGAUCUGAAAGUUGUAAAGUUUAUCCUUGUGAAAGUAAAUAUCAAUUUUCAUCCUGCUAAUAUCACCAAAUUUGCUGUAUUCUUUGUCAAUCUGUUAUUUGUGUAUAGAAUAUUCCGCAUACUACAUGUCUAAUUUUAUGUGGGAUAGCUUCGUGACAGCAAACCUAGUAUGAGACCUCAGAGCAAAUUAGUCAUAUUGAUUAAAUUGUCAGAUGUUAUAUCUUGAUCAUCAG